AUGGAUCUCUUCGGUCCUCCAUCCUUUGAUAGUCUUGGUGGAACAAAGUAUUGCUUGGUGAUUGUGGAUGACCACUCAAGAUAUACAUGGGUAUACUUCUUCAAGAGGAAGAGUGAGACUCUACAAACUGUCAUCAACUUUGCAAAUGAAGCUCAUUGUCAACAUGAAGCAAAUAUCUUGAUGAUUAGAAGUGACAAUGACACGGAGUUCAAGAACUACACAUUGGAUGAGUUUCUUAGUGACGAGGGGAUCAAGCAACAAUAUGCCGCACCCUACACCCCUCAACAAAAUGGUGUGGCGGAGAGGAAGAACUAG
rnacentral:rRNA from 1 species